rnacentral:snRNA from 1 species
AGCUUUGGGCAGUGGCAGUAUUGUAGCCAGUGAGGUUUAUCUGAGGUGUGAUUAUUGCUAAUUGAAAACUUUUCCCAAUAAGU